CACGUAGGGCGCGAGCGUUGUCCGGAAUUAUUGGGCGUAAAGAGCUCGUAGGCGGCCUGUUGCGUCCGCUGUGAAAGCCCGGGGCUUAACCCCGGGUCGGCAGUGGAUACGGGCAGGCUAGAGGUAGGUAGGGGAGAAUGGAAUUCCCGGUGUAGCGGUGAAAUGCGCAGAUAUCGGGAGGAACACCUGUGGCGAAAGCGGCUCACUGGACCACAACUGACGCUGAGGCGCGAAAGCUAGGGGAGCAAACAGG
rnacentral:rRNA from 1 species